GAUCAAUUAAUCUUCGGAUUAUGCGAUAGUGGCGAACGGGUGAGGAACACGUAAGAAACCUGCCCCAAAGACGAGGAUAACUAUUGGAAACGAUAGCUAAUACUGGAUAGGAUAUAAGAUCACAUGGUCUAAUAUUUAAAGGUGCGUAUGCACUACUUUGGGAUGGUCUUGCGCAGCAUUAGCUAGUUGGUGAGGUAACGGCUCACCAAGGCGACGAUGCUUAGCUGGUCUGAGAGGAUGAAC
rnacentral:rRNA from 1 species